AUCCAGGUUAGGGUUUGUGCGAUGGCGCUUUGGCGCGAUCGAUGGCGCGCUGUGGUGCUGGUGAUGGCUGGAAUGCGCAUUCCUGAUUGCAUCGCGCUCGUCCUCUCGGAGCUCUCGGAUCGGAUUAUCUGGAUGUGAUGUCGAUUGCUAGUUGCAAUGGUGCGAGGCAAGAUGAGCAAACCUGGCAGCAAUGGUGGCAUCCACACCCAUGCAUGCCGAUAAUCCACUUUUCUCCUUGACGAUUUGCUACUUGAUCAAGGCUUUGGAAGCUAGCUAAGCUUUGGUUUCUUUCUCAGUGUACGCAAUGUGUAUUUGGACGAGCAUGGCAUUUAGCUACCUUGGAAGGAGUUUUGACAACGCCCUGAGAUUGCUAUCCACUCUUGCUCUUAGCAUGACUCGCUGGAAGUUCCUGGCUCUCACUGUAAGUUUUCUCUUGAGUUUUCCAGGCUCUUUUUGUUUUUUAGUGCUAGUGGAGAUGCUGUACAUGCGCAAGCAGCUCAACGCCAUCUCCUGUGACAUUGUUCGCCAUUGAAUUUAUUGUCUCUCAAGGAAGGCUGAGAUGCUGAAGUAAAGAAGGCAUACCCGAGCAAAGGAGUCAUUCCAGCCCGACUUUGAUCCGCACAGUCGAAUGCCUUUGCUGUCGGAGAUGAUGGAAGAAGAAGAGCCCGAGAAGGCCGAGCUUGAGAACAAACUCGUGAAGACUAGGAAACCACAUCUACAUGAAUUGCAACACCAGCAUGCAUUGAGGAGAGAUGUGGCCUCAACACCAAAGCCAAGGAAGCUCGGAUAAACACCAAGUCUAACAGCGCUCAAGCCGGAUUGACAGAAAGCAGUGGAGCUGCCAGGUACCAUCACCCUCAGUAGUGAAGCACUUCUCAUGGCUCUAGCUUGCGGCUUCAUCAACAUGUAGUUCUUGAGAGGAACGCCUCUCUCAGUCUUUCCCAGAACAGAUCAACCGAGCAGGCACUUGCCCAGCACCGCCAGCACCGCACCCCACCCAGCUGCCAGCCGCCAGCGCAGCACCGCAGCUCCGCAGCUCCAUGCCGCCCCCGGAUUAACAAGUCGAAUUAUAAGUUUAAUUAUAAGUCUAAUUGUAUUUGACUUAGCACAACUUCAAUUAUAACUCUCAUUUUGAGCC